rnacentral:rRNA from 1 species
UUGACACAAGUGGGGAGAAAGCCUGAUGAAAGGGACCCCCGCGCGAGGGAUGAGGGCCUUAGGGUGGUAAAACCUUCUUUGAGCAGGGAAAAGUGAAAGUGAGGGUACUUGCAGAAGAAGCGGCAGGAUAAGUACGAGGGCAGCAGGCUGCGGUAAUAGGUAGGGUGCAAGAGUUGUCCGGAAUUAUUGGGCGUAAAGAGAAUUGUAGGUCGGCCUUGUCAGGAUCGGUUGUGAAAGCCGGGGGCUUAACCCCGGGUGUGCAGUCGAUAGGGGCAGGCUAGAGUUGGGUAGGGGAGAUCUGGAAUUCCUGGUGUAGCGGUGAAAUGCGCAGAUAUCAGGAGGAACACCGGUGGCGAAGGCGAUCUCUGGGCCGAUACUGACGCUGAGGAGCGAAAGCGUGGGGAGCGAACAGGAUUAGAUACCCCUGGUAGUCCACGCCCCGUAAACCGGUGGGCACCUAGGGUGUGGGCAACAUUCCACGGUUGUCCGUGCCGCAGCUAACGCAUUAAGUGCCCCGCCUGGGGAGUACGG